AUCUUCGAUCCCUCACCAAUAGAGAAAAAUAUCAAAUCGACUCCAACACGGGAGCUUCGGAGAUGUCCGCCAUUCAAUGAUGUUGAAGCUGAUUUCGUUAUGGGAGCUUCUGGAACAUCAAGAACGCCGAGCUUCGAUGUACUGAAUGAGUGGAGAAUCUCAGCAAAAGUUGCAGAGAUCAAAGAGAGAAAAUCCUCGGAGAGAAGUAGCGGAAACGUUUUGAUCUCGAGAGAGAAUCCAUGGGGAUCCUUCUUGCAAGACAGACCACCGGCGAAGAAUUCCUUCGUUUUUUCUAUUCGACCCCAAUGCCGAGGGAAAAAUCCAAGAGAGAGAUGUAGAGAGAGAAUUUUAGUCCGAGAAACUAGAUCUGGAAAAUGA
rnacentral:lncRNA from 1 species